AAUGAACGCUGGCGGCGCGCCUAAUACAUGCAAGUCGAGCGAGAAGACGUAGCAAUACGUUUGUAAAGCGGCGAACGGGUGAGGAAUACAUGGGUAACCUACCCUAGAGUGGGGAAUAACUAGCCGAAAGGUUAGCUAAUACCGCGUACGCUCCUUGGACUUCGGUUCAGGGAGGAAAGCGAUGCCGAGGGUAUCGCGCUCUUGGAUGGGCUCAUGUCCUAUCAGCUGUUGGUGAGGUAACGGCUCACCAAGGCUUCGACGGGUAGCUGGUCUGAGAGGACGAUCAGCCACACUGGCACUGCGACACGGGCCAGACUCCUACGGGAGCAGCAGUAAGGAUAUUGCGCAAUGGGCGAAAGCCUGACGCAGCGACGCCGCGGUGGGGGA
rnacentral:rRNA from 1 species